rfam:Sordaria macrospora k-hell, WGS project CABT02000000 data, contig: 2.1583, organelle: mitochondrion
GAUUCUUUAACUUAACUGGUAAAGUGCAUUAUUGAUAAUAAUGAUAUUCAAGUUCGAGUCUUGAAAGAAUUA